UACGUAGGGUGCAAGCGUUGUCCGGAAUUAUUGGGCGUAAAGAGCUCGUAGGCGGUCUGUCGCGUCGCUGUGAAAUCCCGAGGCUCAACCCCGGGCCUGCAGCCGAUACGGGCAGACUAGAGUGCGGUAGGGGAGACUGGAAUUCCUGGUGUAGCGGUGAAAUGCGCAGAUAUCAGGAGGAACACCGGUGGCGAAGGCGGGUCUCUGGGCCGUAACUGACGCUGAGGAGCGAAAGCGUAGGGAGCGAACAGG
rnacentral:rRNA from 1 species